AUGACAGCCAUACCACCCUGAACGUGCCCAAUCUCGUCUGAUCUCGGAAGCUAAGCAGGGUUGGGCCUGGUUAGUAGUUGGAUGGGAGACAUUCUGAAAUUUUUAAAAAAUUAAUUAUU
rnacentral:rRNA from 1 species